AAUCAACGCUGGCGGCGUGCCUCAGACAUGCAAGUCGAACGCAAAAGUCCCCUUCGGGGGACAAGUAGAGUGGCGCACGGGUGAGUAACACGUAGGUAAUCUACCUUCGGAUGGGGAAUAACAACCGGAAACGGUUGCUAAUACCGCAUAAUGCAGCGGCACCUAAUGGUGACAGUUGUUAAAGCGGGGGAUUGAAAGACCUCGCGUCUGAAGAGGAGCCUGCGGCGGAUUAGCUUGUUGGAGGGUAACGGCCUACCAAGGCGACGAUCCGUAGCCGGCCUGAGAGGGCGGUCGGCCACACUGGGACUGAGACACGGCCCAGACUCCUACGGGAGGCAGCAGUGGGGAAUUUUUCGCAAUGGGGGCAACCCUGACGAAGCAACGCCGCGUGGGGAUGAAGGUCUUCGGAUUGUAAACCCCUGUCGAACUGGGACGAAUGUAGAGCGGACCUAAUACGCCGAGCUAUUGACUGUACCGGUGGAGGAAGCCACGGCUAACUCUGUGCCAGCAGCCGCAGU
rnacentral:rRNA from 1 species